UACGGGGGGGGCAAGCGUUGUUCGGAAUUACUGGGCGUAAAGGGCGCGUAGGCGGCCUGCUAAGUCGGACGUGAAAUCCCUCGGCUCAACCGGGGAACUGCGUCCGAUACUGGCGAGGCUUGAAUCCGGGAGAGGGAUGUGGAAUUCCAGGUGUAGCGGUGAAAUGCGUAGAUAUCUGGAGGAACACCGGUGGCGAAGGCGGGUCUCUGGGCAACAACUGACGCUGAGGAGCGAAAGCGUGGGGAGCGAACAGG
rnacentral:rRNA from 1 species